ACUCCAUUUCAGCUCAUGUCACUAAUUGAGGACACUUAAAAAUUUUAAAUUGAUCCAAACAAUUCAAAACUGUUUGUUUCAUGAAAAUAAGUUAAGAAAUAGCAUAUUUUACUUCAAUUAAUAUCAAACUAACAGUUAACAAUGUUAAAUACAAAUCUACAGAAACAAAGUGGACUUACAUUUUCUGGCUUUAGUCCUGGCCUUCGGUGCUCACUCUAUGAGAUGCUCCCCGACCUGGUGAUAUAAAGCCAUGUGAGAAACCAUGGAGAUUGCAUCUGCUGUUGACCUAUUGUGACAACAGGCAAAUUGAAAUGGGUCCAGGUCCUUGCUGAGACAAGAGUGCAGUCUAGUCAUAACCAACUUCUCAAAGCAUUUCAUCAUUGAAUCAGAAUGAAUCAAGGAAAAAUGACCAUGGCCCUGCACAAACCUGGGGAGAAAAAUACACAUCCAUUUAAACCAGGUGUUUAUACAUGUAUAUAUUAAAUCACUGAAAAAAUCUCUGUUUCUCUUCUAGGCGGAAGGUAUCCUAUCAAGUGCUGCUAACCACCCAAACAGUGGCCAAGGUACAAGGCAAAGCCAAAUGUAUCUGCAUUAGCCCUCUCUUACUGAGUGUGAUAAUGUACCAGAAAGGAAGGAAGGCUGACGAAAAGUGAAGUGGCUAAUGAUACAUGGACUGAUUUGCCUUAAUACUUUACCGUCUAGUCUUGCCUGUGCUUAUAGUACUUAAUUAGGCAUAGGUUAUGUAUAUGCUACUUGGACCAACAUGUAAAGUUGCUGGGUGUGUAUGGGGAUUCCUGCACAUGCACGUGAGGGUGGGGUGUGCAUCUACAGCCAAUACACUUCAAUGAAGAGGAACAAGAAUGCUUCCAAGCUAAACUCAAUGCCUUAGCAGCAAACUGGCCAGGUGAAGGGAAAGAAUGGAUAACACAGCGAGCAGACAAAAUACAAGCUAAUAAGCCUGAUUGGCUAUCAAUUUCUGGGAGUAAUUGUUUCAGGGGACGGCACGUAAGAUCAUAAGAUAUAGGAGCAGAAGUCAGCCAUUCAGCCCAUCGAGUCUGCUCCACCAUUCAAUCGUGGGCUGAUCCAAUUCUUCCAGUCAUCCCCACUCCCCUGCUUUCACCCCAUUCCCUUUGAUGUGCUGGCUAAUCAAGAACCUAUCUGUCUCUGCCUUAAAUACACCCAAUGACUUGGUCUCCAAGUGCUUAACUAUUGUUUAAUAAACUCUAAUGUGCCGAAAUUGCAUGUAGCUACCCAGACAGCUGAAAAGUGCUGGUGUCAGGCAGAUAAGACAACACGAUUUAUGGGAAUGAGUAGGUGUAGAGAGAAAACUAAUAAUGGUGGGGUGACCCAUAGCACUUCUGAAAUAUCUCCAAGGUUUCUAAAUGACACAUUCUGGAUAUGUGGGAAUCAAGUUUACACCUGGCUACCUUUAACUGGACUGGAUGUUGUCACCCCGGACUUGUGGUGUCUAUGGUGUGCUACGCUCAUGAACUAACCUCAACGCUCUUGCGAAAGGAAAGGGCAAUUACAAACACAGAAAGGUUCUGGAUGAAAGCCUUCCUUUAUUAUGGGAGAGGGAAAGUAGCAGAGGAGAUCAUUAAUAUGGUCUCAGCCUUUGAGAAAUUAGCUGACGACUGCCUCAGUCUAAGAUGAUACGCAAAAGCAAAUUAAAGGCUUAACUGCUGAGGUAAUAGCCAUUUGAAUUGUGGCCCUGCAGAAUAGGUUGGCCUUAGGUUUUAUUUUAGCUGAGAAAGGAUGUCAGUAAUGCUGUACCUAUCUCCCUGAUUAAUCUGAAGGCAUAACCCACAAGGCUAACUGUAUACAGAAAAGUGUGAAAGAGGUACGUAAGAUCGGAGAAGAAUUCCAUGACUGGUGGCCUUUUGGAAACAUCUUUGUUGGUUGUUGGGGAAUACUGGUACAUAUAGAAUUAUUAUUGCUGUAAUAAUAGUAGGAGUUCUUGCAACCUGAAUCAUAUGUGCAAUUCUACCCUGUUCAACGAAUCGCCCCACUUCGAUGUUCCCUCAUGUUAAUGCCAACGCGUAUGACCUCAGAUACAAUGAAGAUGAAUGUUUAAAGAUGUGACUACUGCCCCCAGGGUAUGAGGUCCCUAUUGCUGACAAUGACCUAUAGAGUUGAUCCUACUAUCAAAAAGGAGAGAAUGGUGGAAGAAAAUUCUAAAUAUGGGUUAAAAUAUCUGAGGCUACGUCCAUACUACACCGGAUAAAUCCAUAACUGAAGCUUUUCCUCUUUGUUUUUACCCUCCGUCCACACUAAAAUGGCGUUUUUGUCCCCCGAAACUGGAGAUUUUUAGAAAUGCUCUCCAGAGUGUGUAAUUUUGAAAAUGCUGCUUGGCCAGAGCAGUGUGGAUGGGGUAACUGGAGAAAUCUGAAAACGCUGUCAGAUGGCAGCACACCAUUUCAUUGUUUUCUUGAAUGCAACCUAACAAUUUCAGAACAGACGGCAACGAGACUGAAGCCAGAAGAGUUAGAAAUGUACUCACCAAAUACUUUGACCCAUAACUUACUGAAUAAAUAAGUAUACUCACUUUGCCCUGUUUUCUGUCCUUGCUUGUAUGAAGGUAGUUUACCUAUUUAAGCAAGUACUUCUCUGACAAUAGAUGUGUAACAGCCUAAUGUAACAUUGUAUGGAAAUACAAGAUAACAUUGAUGCAGGCAUGUUUUAUACAUUUAACAAGGUGCUUUAUUAAUGCAACAGUGUUUGUCAGUUUUUCAAUGUUCGUCGUCAGCUGGGUCAUACAGUCUGUGAACUCCCUGUCAGUUGCCUCCGUAUGCUCCAGUAUUUGUUUUUUUUUACUUUGAAGUCCUCCUGUGCAAAAGCCGACAGCUGUCCAUCAUUAAGUUUUUCUAGUCUGUAACUACACAAAUGUGCACUUUCACGGCAAGAUUCAACACCAAACACGUCGCUUGUUUUCGGUAGCACAGUAGGAGGCGAUUCACCGAAAUAUCCAUUUUAAUGUGGACAGAGAUAUUUUUUGAAAUGCAUAGUGUGGAUCCCUAUCAUUUUUACAUGAAACUGGUGUUUUCAAAAUUAUCCGGUCUAAUGUAGAUGUAGCCUGAGUUGCUAAUGCCCUGUACCUUCAUCUGCCUAAUGUUUGUUAAUCUCAAAGCCGUAGGGCAUGACACAGCUGUGUAAACAAGAUGAACAAACUGUCUCUGAAUCAUGAAAAUACCAAAAGCUGUCUCUGGCUGAUGUCCCUCACAUUUUGUGGAAUGUAAUAAGUUACACAAGAUUAAUGUAUAAGAGAGGCUGUGACCAUUGCUCUUUGGAAGACUGGCGAUCACACUGUUAGCUGAGCAGUA